UACGGAGGGGGCUAGCGUUGUUCGGAAUUACUGGGCGUAAAGCGUGCGCAGGCGGCUUCUCAAGUCAGGGGUGAAAGCCCAGAGCUCAACUCUGGAAUUGCCUUUGAGACUGAGUGGCUUGAGUACGGGAGAGGUGAGUGGAAUUCCCAGUGUAGAGGUGAAAUUCGUAGAUAUUGGGAAGAACACCGGUGGCGAAGGCGGCUCACUGGCCCGUAACUGACGCUCAUGCACGACAGCGUGGGGAGCAAACAGG
rnacentral:rRNA from 1 species